GGCUGCAAAGAACGAUCAGAGAUAUCAGUUUUAUCCCAGAUUUUUAAAAAAUGUUUCUUUAACUACAGUGGUAAAAUAAAUAUUCAAAUUACGCAUAGCACAGCAUUUGUAAAGAUGAGCCUGCUGGAAUUUAGAAAUGCAUCAGGAAACAUCCAAAGUCAGGUAGGCUUUCCCGCAUCAAGUCUCUUUUUCAAUUGCCUACUUCACAAGUGCAGGUCUCUCUGGCAGAGAACAGGAACGUGCAUCUUACUAUGAGAAUCACUGUCACUUUCUUGCUUGUAGAAGUACCACAUCUGCGCAGUUACAUUUGUUCACAGUAGCAGACAUGGCUAUCCAGUAUGAGCAGCCAUACAGCACAGGCAACCAAGAAAGGGGAAAAAAAAUGUUGCAGGAAUAAAUAGUACUCAACACUAACAAAUUUAGGUUGAUAGGAAGAACAAGGGAUACUCCAGCCCUUUAAGACAGACAAAAGCAGAGGAAAAAUAUCUUCUACAGCACUCAUUGGAAAUCAGUUCAAUCUUCCCAUUACUAUUCCUCCCUACAGGUAUCCCAAUUCAGAUCUCCUGAGGAACACAGAGUCCCACCCCAUAGCUUAUGGAAAUACUGAGAUAUGGCAUUAAAACAGGUCCUUCUGUUUUCCCUUUACGUAUCAGUAGUAACUGUCUGAGCAGUUCUCUCACCCAGGAACAUGAAAAAAAAUGAGGUGACAGAUGAUAAGAAUCACUGGAAAGGAAGUUUUGACAGUUGCUUUCUAUUCUCUUUCUCCACAGAACAGCAGGUCAAAAGACCUGUCAGGUAUUUAGUCAACAACAGCUUGGAUCAAUCAAGAAACUAUAAGAAUUAUCCUACAGUACUUGCAAUCAGCAAUGAGCAGCUGUUUCUUCCAAGAGAGGAGCCUUAUUCUUUCUUGAGAAGAGUCAUCAUUUUCAUUUCACUACAACAAAUGUUGGUGUCCAUUUUUAAAAGGAUACCAAAGGACAAUUUGUUUGUUUGCUUUUAAUUUUCUUGCAUCAGUUUCUAGAAUAGAUGCACUACCAAGGCCCUGAAAAGAAGAGAACGUCUUCUUCUCAUUCCCUAACUUCAAAAUGCAUUAGCAACAAGGUUCUGAGAUUUUAAUGAACAGCUUAAUAUUUAAUACUGCUGUUUAGUAAAGUUCAGAUGAUGGAAAGAGACUCAGUCUUAUGCAUUCUUUACUACCUCCUAUAUGUUACAGGUUAAAGAAUAUUACUAAUGGAAAUGACUUACUCUGGGGGAGGCAUUUUAGAUGGUUCCACAUCUCGCAGAAACUCGCACUGAAGAGCUUGUUCAGCUGUGCAGCGCUUGCUGGGAUCCAGAGCAAGCAUGUAAUCAAACAAAUCUAAUGCAGCUGGUGGGAUGCUGCAAAAGAACACAGUGGGAAAAAGCAUCACCUGUUUUCUGAAUCACAUACUUCAGUGCAAAGUUUUCAUUAGAACAACUCUCCAGAAUAACUGAACAUCUAAAAUGAAGAAUUUACUUUUAAGAGGCAGAUAACAAAGUUCAUCUUUACCAACCUCUGUAAACAUAGAAACCUAAGUGUCUUAUGGGUUUGGUUUUUCUGUUUGUUUGUUUGUUUUUGCAGAGGUGGGGGUGACUGUGGGCAGUUGUGUUUCUGUAUGUGGCUGACUUGAUUGAAAUACUGCUCUUAAAAAAAAAAAACAAAAAAACAAAGCAAAAACCCAACACAAUUGAAGCCAAGACUAUAUAGUGUUACUUCACACUUUGGAAUUUGGUGCACAAAGAGGUGCAAUUUUGUAUGGACCAAGCAAAACAACUCUACUGCUUUAGGAAAGCCUUGUUAGUUCAAGCAGGAUGAUAUACUGAUCCUAAACCCUGAAGCAGAUGAAGGAAGGGAACAAUCCCUUUAAAUUGAAUCUACAGCUGCUUUCCAUAGCUUUCAUGUGUGAUAUUUGCAAAAAAAAAAAAAAAAAAGAUCCAAUGGUACACAGUAUUUUAGAAUAGACUGUUCAGAUAACUCUUGUGUUGAAUGAAUUUAUGACCCAAAAGACUGUAACGUUAACCAGACUUCAUAUUUAGCUGUUCUCAGUUGUCCUAAUAAAAAACAAUUAAGUACUGCAAGCUGUUUUUUGGACAGGGAAAGCAAGCAGGUGUACCAAUCACAGAAAACAAAUGUGUCCUUAGGUGAAAGCUGACAGGUGGCUGAAAUUUUAGGGCCUUCUUUCUCCCUUCUUGAAACUUUAUUAAAUAAGGGUUAAUACAAGCUCUGCAGGAAUCUUCUAGGAUUCGAAAGCCAUUUUUCUUUACACAUGAGUGUUUUCUAGAAACUGGCUGAACAUCCAUUAAGUUCACAAAGAUGCCAACAACACGUAAUGCUGUUACAACUGAGUAAACUAAUCCUUUGUCCUUACAAUGCAAACUCUUCUCUCAGUUUUCGACGAUACUGCUUCUUUGGUUUCAUUGUGUUGAAAUAAGCUAAUUUUAUAACAUCAGGCCACACUGCUGGACAAGGGCUCCCACAGAUUCGGCUGUACAAAAAGAGGAGGAAAGAAAGGCAUGAGAUCCAAAAGCACAAGUGUGCACAGCUGUCAUUUCAUUCUUAGAAGUACAGUAAAUGCAAAACUCAUUAUCUAAUGUUAACAUUCAGUUCCAUUUAGCUAAAAUUUCUCUACAGAAAGGCCUGACACCAUUAAGGAAUGGUUAAUUAUCUAGGAAAGGUAACCACUCUUCACAAACUAAACUUCAUAAAAUCCACUAUUUCUGUGCCCCAACCACUCUAAAGCAUCUUCUGCACAAAAGGUUACAUUCUGAAAGUCAACUAACUAUGCCUGGACACCAUUCAUGUAUUUGAUCUGGAGAAGUGGAUGACCCAGAUCUAGGAUGCUGGGCUGUUAGCUCCUAAUUGCAGUGAAGAAAGAAAUACCAAAGGCCUGAAGAAGUAUUAACUUUAACAAGAAUUUAGUUGACACAGAAGAUGCUCUUGGAGGAAAAAAAAAACACAAAACAACCGACCCUUUAAGUCCUAGGGGUAAAUACAAGCUUUUAGCAGCUCAAUCUUGUUUAUUUUUAUCUUUACUUUUUCAUUACAGUUAUUAGUCUUCUGUGUAGGGCCUAAUCUAUUUCCAUAUAUGGAACUGUCCUUAGCCUCGGUCCUCCCUCUCCAUCCAUGCCUGUUUUUUCCCAUCAAGGAUGGCAGCACAGCCUAACACCACGCUUCUCAGCAGGAGAAUGGGAGUAAUUUACCCUGCAAUGUUUAAGACUUCUGAUGAAGGCAGUCAAUAAAAGAACUUGCUGAGGAAAUGUAUUUCCCUACUUCACCCUUCUCCAUUCAUUUGAUUUAAAUUGCUUGUGCAAGAGACCUAAGUAUGAAUUAAUUACGUCCCUAUGUUUGAAGUACAUUACUUUCAGGAAGAAAAUAAAUUCUGUCUUUUUCCUAACAGAAUUUACUUCAGUUCUAUAUUUGAGCAUUAAAGCUAGAAAGAAUAAAAUGUACAACUGUUGACUGUAACAUGACGGUUACAGAGAUUGUGUAUAAAAUUAUAAACUAAAACUGAUAUAUUACACCUAAACAGUCUCCAAAUGCAUAGUACUGAAUAAAAUGGAGAGGAAAAAUAGCUACAAGCAGCUGGCUGCCAGCAUUCUUCCAGCAGAAAGAAAUCUCAAAAUCUGGAUUUGCUGUACCAGGAGGUAAAAUUUCUGAUGCCUGCCCUCUCACUGCCAUCUAGUGGACAAAAGCAAAGACUUCCAAAAUCUACAACUUCGUUCUACCAAGAAUGAUGACUGGUAGUAUUGCACCUCCUAAAAACUUUAUUUCUCCUCAUCAGCUAGUAAAAUAUUACACAGAAGCACACUGACAUUUAAUCUAUCUCGAAAAACAUUUCAGUAUAUAACUUACAUUUUAAAAUACUCUGAUUUUAAAAAUAAUUUUACUAUUUCCUCUUCUGGUGCUGUAAGUUCUACAGGACUCACCCUCCUUCCCCCUUGUUUUUAGGAAGAGGGUGUCUGCUCACUUAUGAGGUCAGCUAUGAUAUCAGAAUCAAGAGCAAUUUCUGCUUGCAAAAUAAAGAGGAAAACAAGAUGCACUGGUUCCAUGGAGUUAUAUACAGGCCAUCCUAAAAUUUACUGACAUAAUGUAGUAAACAAAAUAUUCACCCCCAUAAAGUAUCUGGCAGUUUGUAAGGGAAGAGAAAUAUAUGAAAAAAAGAAAGCCCAGGUGCACACGUGGGAAAACUCAAUGCAAGAUCUUAAGGCAAGCAGCAUACAAAGCACCUACUGCUCCUAAACCUGCUGUCCUUACUGACCAUGUUUUUUGAUUUGCUAUAAAGAAUUUGUGAUGCCAUCUUGAAAAGGAAUUACAUUCUUUUACAACUUCAGUAAUAGGAAAAGCUCCAGCUGCAUUUUGAAACACUUCCCCACAUCCACACAUAAGACACUUAUUCUACAUGCCCCUGAAAACCACUGAUAUCUCACUCAGGAUGAUAAUGAAGUACUUGUAAUUGUCAGCAGUGUGUUACCUUUGUUUUUAAUGUGAAAAAGAUAGGCAGUUUACCAGGCACCUACAACACUGUAGUGCCUGCUAGUUACCUUAUAAGUUCCAGCUGAGCAAGUUCUUGAUUUGCUUGAAAUAUUGGCUUUUUUGUAAAAAGUUCACCCAGGAUGCAGCUGUAAAACAGUUUCAUACAAUUUCAUCAUUAUGGCUUCCAGUACAGACUGACAGAAAUAUGCACUGCUGGCUUGUUGUUGUGCUUGCUACACUUGUGUACCAAACUCUUACCCACAGCUCCAGACAUCGAUAGCUGGCGUGUAUCUUUCUUCUCCAAGCAGAAGUUCAGGAGGCCGAUACCAUAACGUAAUAACUUUGUUGGUAUAUGGUCGGCUGUUGGAGGGAGCAAAAAAAAAAGAGGACUAUCAUUUUGCUACAAUCUCAUUUCUGAAAAAAGUGAUAUUUUGAGGGGUAUAAUUCCAUGGUGUUAUUUAAGGACAGCGUUGCCUUCCUUCUUUUCAGUUCUACGAAGUUACAACUGCAAAAAAGCAACACAUCCAUCUGACCAAGGCUAUUGAACAGUCUGAAACGAGACCUCAGAGAUACACAAGUAAUCAGCAAGCCAUCUUGAUGCUAUGUGCAUCCUGUAUUUAGAUAAUCAAACAGUUCACUUUUCACACUGCUAGCCAUUUCAGGAAAAAGAUCUGCUUUGAUAAAAAAGUGAUUUCUCAAUAACUGCUAAUUAUUAGAAUACUGAAGACAUGAUUUCUACAAACAUUUUAAAAAUGGGAAAAUCAGUCACUCUCCUCUCUGGAAAGAAAGAAACAAAGCCUUUCUCUCAAACUAUGUCCUUCAACAACUUUGAAUUCUAAGUCUGGACCAUUUCUAAUAUAUUCCUUUAUUUCAACAUUUUUAAUUCUUUACAGCUCUAACCAGAAGUUCUGGUCAUCGUGAAUAAUCCUUUCCAUCCUCACACUAACACAAGGAUUCCACUACUUCAGACAUGCAUUUUCUGUGCAGUGGCCAACACAGAGCAUCAACAGUUCAGAACAGGAGUCAUAGCAGAUGGUAGGGUUGGGCUGUUUUCCACUUAGUUUUUGCUUUGUUUGCUUUGUAAAGAGGGGGGAUGGGCCGGGACAACAGUAGGAUGGUUCUUAAGAGUGGUAAAAAAAAUCCUUCCAGUUUUAAGAUCACGAGUUUACCAAUACUAAGUAACUCCAAAGAAAAAAGCAGAGCAGCAUUAAGUGCAGUGUUUUUACAAGCUCUUACAACGUGCUUAGCACUACAGGUAUCAUUUCUGCAAAAUUGUCCCAGCUUUUUUCAUAAAGCCCCCUAUUUUUGGUUUACUAAAAUUAACACAGUGUGGGUUUUUUUUUGGAAGUAGUUCCACCAUAUAUUUAUCUCUGAAGCAAACAUCCACGUUCAAAAUGUUUACAUGGUAUGGACUUCCUCUACAGAUAAGCCACUCACAUAUAUAUAUAUUGGUAUACUGUCAUUCUUGUUUGAACAGCUGUUUUCUCACACAAUCUGUCAUAGCUCUACUCUAAACAUAUUAAAGCCUCCAAAAUAACACUUAAAGAAGAAACUAGAAUAACUGAUAGGAAUUCGGUUACAAUUUUACUUCCUCUCCAUCAUGCUCCUACUAAACUCUGUAACCUUUUGAAAAGCGUGUCAUUCCAACAACAGUAAAACAAGAGUAAAAUACACAAACCUAAUCAUCACUUAUAUGUUUGUUGGUGUAUUUCAAGUACUGACGUUACUGCAGGUCAGAAGCUAUUCAGAAGGAAAAUGAAUGCCAAAAGAAUUGCAAAAAAUAUACUCAUGAGAUUCUAAUAAUCUUCCCAAGCUCAAUUAGCAAUGUUAUUAGCUACAGUAAGUACAUUUUAGUCUUGUUUAAUUUAUCUAUAAUGAGGUAAUGUUGUUUUCACAUUCAGUAAAACGUUAUUUGCAUUAUAAGGAUGUUGAACUUCCACUCUUUCAAUUCUUAACAUUUAGUUCUAUAACCAACAUCUUAAUUUAAAAAGAUAUUAAAGAUAAUGACAGUAAACCAACAAGAAGUCAGCCUGGGGAAGAUUAAAGUAGCUAGGUAGGAUGGCAUCAUCUCUUUAGUUAUAAGUACAUCCAAAAUGAAAGUGAAUUAGAACCACAGAAUCAACAAGAUUGGAAAAGACCUCCGAGAUCAUCCAGUCCAGCUGUCCACCAACCACCAAUAUUUCCCACUACACCGUGUCCCUUGGGACAACAUCUGAACGCUGCUUGAACACCUCUAGGAACGGAAAGUCAACCACCUCCCUUGGCAGUCCAUGCCAGCUUCUGAUCACUCUUCCAGAGAAAAAAACAUUCCUAACAUCCAACCUGAACUUCCCUUGGCAUAACUUGAGACCGUUCCCUCCAGUUCUACUGCUAACUGCCUACCAGCUGCUACAAAUGAUCUUACCCCAAUACUGUACUCCAAACAGUUUCCCUAAUUGUUACUUGAGCAUACCUUCCUGAAAUAACAGCUCAGAAGACAGUGAAAAUAACACUGUUGCACUGAAGAACCUCAGAGGUCUGUGAGAAAAUAAACUCAAAAUUGAUCAUGCAGACACAGUUUCCCAAGUUGGGCACGCAGAACUCAAAGCUUAAGUACCUAACAUUCUCAAUAUCCAGCCAUCCGUCGUACAUAUCGAUGUAAUUAACAUUCAACCUUGACUUUGAAAAUCUCAGUCCAAGUAACAAAUACAUAACACCACAAUAUAUAUAUUAAAAUUCUUAAUCAUAAAGGCUGUGCACCUGUUUCCUGGAGUACAAUUGUAACAGAGCCAUCAACAACAGAAGCACAAGUCACAAGAGGUUUCAGAAGAGCUUUUAUUUAAACUUGUAUCUCUGUUUCCAACAGAUGUAACAGCACUGACUGCCUAAAGAAUACAAUAAACCUCUUCAAAUUUAAGAUUAAAUCUUACACAAAAGUAAUGCUUAAAAAAAAAAAAAAAAAAAAAAAAGACAGUAAAU